rnacentral:snoRNA from 1 species
ACAUGAUGAUAUACAUAGCUGGCACCAGUCCUAGAAAGACUUGUACUCUAUAUGCUGCGGACUCGCUUGCAGAGGGUCACAUUGGUUGGCCCAAAGCUCUGAC